UACGGAGGUUGCAAGCGUUAUCCGGAUUUAUUGGGUUUAAAGGGUGCGUAGGCGGGAUUAUAAGUCAGUGGUGAAAACCUGCAGCUUAACUGUAGAACUGCCAUUGAUACUGUAAUUCUUGAGUAUAGUUGAGGUGGGCGGAAUGUGUAAUGUAGCGGUGAAAUGCUUAGAUAUUACACAGAACACCAAUUGCGUAGGCAGCUCACUAAACUACAACUGACGCUGAGGCACGAAAGCGUGGGGAGCAAACAGG
rnacentral:rRNA from 1 species